ensembl:lncRNA
AUGGCAAACGGGUCCAGCAGUGCUCAGAGGAUGUUCAGGGUUAAGCAGCAACUUCACCUCCUCUUUUCCCCUCCCUGCGUGCAAAAAUCAUCUUUUCUUUUCCCGUUAGGCAGUUCUCAUCUAAUUUUCUGCUUCAUCCACCAGGCAGGCUUUUCCCCCUCAAAACGACUGUGGCAGCCUGAGCCGGUCUUUGUUCAGCCCAGAAGCCUGAUCCAGCAGGAAGUGGAUUCUUAUGGAGCAUUACUCUGCCUUACCAAAAAAUCCAGGCAUCCCCUUCUCCCAGCCCACGGGGCUGGGUGGAGUGAAAAAUCCACCAGGGCCCUCCAACCCCCUUCUUCCUCCCAGUGUCCUCAAAGCACCGCACUGGAGAGGAGCUCUGCAGAGCCUGGGAGGGCUGUGGGAUGGAUGGAUGGAUGGAUGGAUGGAUGGAUGGAUGGAUGGAUGGAUGGAUGGAUGGAUGGAUGGAAGGAUGCCCCUGGCCAAAACAGUGGUGGCUGUGAUGGAAACCAGAAGCCCUGUGGUCUGCGAGCCCGGCUGCCUUCCCAAGGCAUGCCAAGCAUUGCUGGCGCGCCUGUGUGUCCCACAGCAGCCUCCCGAGGCCAAAAAAAAACCCCAAAUCCUCUGAAUCGCUGUAUUUUCGGCAGCACAGGACCAGCGAGCCCGACAGCUUCUUGGAGCCGAGCACGGCGCAGAUUCCUCUUAGCAGUGUUUCGCUCUGCUGCUACCACGCACAGAGAGCGCCCGCUUCCAAGAGAGAGAGAGGGCUCCACGACGGAGCUGAAGGAGAAGGAGACAAAAACACCCCGUGGCAGCUCCUUCCACACACCCCUGUCCUCCAGCCUGCACUUCCAAAGGGCAGGAUUUGACAGGCAACAGGUCUUGGAGCUUCUUUUCCCCGGCCAUCUGCUCCCGAUGGCAGCAGCAGGCAGGCAGCCUCCUGCCACCCAUGCAGCUGGGGGACAGCGGCGCUGCCAUCCCCCCUCCAUCCCUCUGUCCCGGGGUCUCUUCCUGCUGGAGGCACGGCAGCAGGGUGGAAAGCUGUUCCUUUGCCAGGAUGGCAGCGUCACGCUGUCCAUAAACACCUUUGUCAGCCCCACCUCCAGCAUCACCCUCCGGAUUUCAGCCGCCCUCCUGCAGCCUCCGUGCAGCCCCGCGGGGAAAGACCCUCCAAGCGAGCUCCAAAUCCUCCCACCCAGUUGUUUUCCCAGCCAGAGGAGCACACCCGGGAGCAGGAUGAAGCCUGGAGAGCAGCCCCCCAGGCUCAGGGACAGGCUGGGCUCCCCCAGCAGCGCUGCUGGGGAUGGAUGAGAGGACCAGACGCUUCCAGGGUUUCAAACCCCCAUCCAAAACAAGCCCUCAACCCCCGCGCUGCAAAACCCGACACAAACAACACACACAUUCUUUGCUAUUAAGAGAGAAAAUUGUUUUCUGGGUGAUGCCUCUCCCUAAAAACCAGGCAAGGACAGGGAAGGGAGUGGAUGAUCACCGGGGCUGAGCACCCAUCUGGGCUCUCUCCUCUGCAGCGUCACAUGCCACCUCUACACAAGGCUCCUGGAGAAACACUAAUUACAGCUCUCCAGCUAAAAACUUUAUUAUACGCACACGUACCACACCAGCGUGCCUUGAGAGAGCUCCCCAGACUCAAACCGAGCCAGGUGGGUCAGGUUUAACUUGUUUUUUUUCUUCUUCAUUCCCUCCCUCCCUCCCAGUUUUAUUCCAACCCCCUGCAUGAACUUGGUGCACGCAAAAAUAAGAGGACAGAGCCAGGCACGAACACAGCGAUAUCCCCCCCUCCAGCUCCCCUCAGCAUCCAGGGAAAGCUUGGCCACGGCUAAACCCUAACCCACAGCAGCCUGGCUAAUCCAGCCUGGCUAAUCCAGCCUGGCUAAUCCAGCCUUCCCAAAACCCGGCAUCCCACGCCGUGCCGAGCUGCCCAUCCCUCCGGCACCGCUCCCAGCCAAGCAGGACACCAGUUGCCAGCUCUCAAACCUCUCCCUUCCCACCGAGGAGGGAGAGUUUCUCCUGGCUGGAGGACGCUGCUGCAGCAGCGUCCAGGCCCCUGGAUAAGUCAAUAGUGCCAUUCCUGUUUCCCAUUUGCCGAAGUACACUGGAUCUUUGUGUGGCGGAGGCGGAAAAAAUAUUAAUCUAAUUAGGCUCCCUCCCUAAAAUUCCUCGUCACCUUAAUUACGCUUCAGAAAAGAAGGCUUGGUUCAUUUUCCUAGAAAAUCAGCUUGUCAGGAGACGCUUUCAACUCCUUAACAAGACGGAUCUGUGCUUCGCGACGCGUCCCCGAGGGGCCGCGGGGAGCGAGAGAUCCCGAAUUCCCGCCGGGAUGACCUUGCCCAACACGGCUGUGGUCCCUCCCAGCCUCCAAAAACGCCAUCAAACUUUACAGGGCUCCCCUCCUGAGCUCUGCGCUCCAGCACAUCGUUCUACACCCGGAGAAUAAACACGGGCAGCUUCGCUUUGGCCA